AGUACGGACAGGGGCAGGGGCUGCUUGUAGAGGGGUAUAAGACACACAUGAAUAGUAAGGAAGUCGAACUCUGCUGGGACACGGUGUGUCGCAGGGUUCCCAGAUCGAUCUGAUGGAAUAAAAAAUGGAAUAAAAGGUUAUUGGAAUAAAAGGUUAUUGGAAUAAAAGGUUAUUGGACAACUCAUCCACGCCUCCGGGUGAUCUCUUCUCAUCUAUGGACCCGGUGGAGUCGGCGUACUCCAACAAAUUGGGGGCUCGUCCGGGAUGAGAUAGAGAUCGGCAUUUGGCAAAUACCAGACGAGACCUGAGUGGGCACGGAAGGCUGCAGGCGCGCCACUAAUGAAAGGUAAGCAGAGCCUGUUUUAUCAAAAUCUGCAUAUUGGCUAUACUAAAUAAAGUAGUCCGAAGUGUCCAUCGGUGUACUCCAACAAGGGCAAAGAGGGGAACACAGGGUGGGAGCUGGAGGGUGGCAAAGUACCUACAUUUUGGUGGCAGUCCUGAAUGGAGUGUCUCCGACUCCCCCUUUGGGAGACUGAAUCGACUAACCCGUCCCUGAUACUGGUGACUGCCCUGGAGCUUGGAGUCGAAGCUGCAUAAGCCUCAAACAGAGUGGGGCUCAGGGAAAGACCUAUAAACCAGCAACUUAGCCAGGUCCACAGAGCGCCAGAAGACUGUUUAGUCUGCGCACCUCCUUGGCUAGGGCUGUGGGAGAGAGCCACAGAAGCAAUCUACCUGCUUCAAUCAGACAUUUGCACAACCACGGGACAGGAGAACGGUUAAAGUUUCAGGCAAGUUUUUCCAGAUAGCUGGAAGGACACAGUUCACUCACCCAGGUAUCAGCUGGGUCAGGAGCUGGAGAAGGCAUGAGGGAUAUUAUUGUUCCCAGUUUGAUGGGUGUCCCAGGGCCUGGGGAUCAUUUUUUAGAGUCUGCCACUCUUUCACAUAGUGGUAUGGUGAGCCCAAGGAAUUGGGUGAUGAUCCACUGUUGAGCUUCAAGAGAAAUAGGGAUUUAAUGUAAAUAACAAUACAAAAAAUGGGACCACGAGGGGUCAUAUCUAAUUGGGAGUAAUAACUAUUAAGAAACCAUAAAUAAACAGGCUAGGGAAACCAUGCAACAAAGGAAGCAGGAACUAAAGAGGAAAUAGGAAAAAAAAACCCAAGCAGCACAACAAAACACAGUAACAUAGGCAAUGGCAGGAUGAAGAACAGAGUAGAACCAACCAGGUACUUAAAUACAAACAGACGACCAGCUAACGAGGGGGCAGGUGUAGCACAUACAGACAAAUUAAUAGCAAGGGCACAGGAAAAACACAUGGGGUACCUUACACUAAUGAACACAGGACUAGGAACUUACAAGACCUGAAAGGGAACACAGAGAAAUACUACACUAGGAAAAUAAGUGAAAAUAAGGAAAAUAAACAAGAAAAAUAAGCACAAGAUAAAAUCAGAAAAGUACACAAGGAGGGCAAACCUAGAACGGGAAAUGUAACAAAGUACUGGGGAACAGAAACGAAUGAGGUUGAUCGUUAACCAGUCUCAAUCCCAUGACUAGGGGAAUAGUUUCGAAGCCACACAUUCAGCCCAUAGAGAUAUGUGGCAGUCCGGGUAGCAGGGAAAACACACAAUGGUUGAAGGACUAUAUGACGAGGGGGGGCGCAGAAUGACCAGCAAUGACUGCUGGCCAAAUGAGGAAAGGUCACAGUAGGUGGGGUCAGAUGGCACAGACACUGACAUAUCCCAUUGUAAAUUCGUAGGGAUCAAUAUGGGGUUGGUCCCCCAUUUGCAGUUAUACCGUGUUUCCCCAAAAAUAAGACCAACCCCGAAAAUAAGCCCUAGCAUGAUUUUUCAGCAUGCUCGUAAUAUAUGCCCUACUCCAAAAAUAAACCCUAAUUACUAUCCCAUGGAUUGUACAAUAACUAGAAUGAGAUGUGAUUAUAUGUAAACAGGAAAUAAUAUUUUGACUCCCAGACAAGAUGAUGCAAAAAGAAAGGAAAUUCUGGUUCAAAAGGAAAUUGAGUUGCAAGAUAUUCAGGAUGGAAUUUGGAGCUUGGAAAUUUACGAUGAUGUUCCAGAAGAAGACGACAUGACGACUAUAUUUGAAUAAAUGUAUACACAGUAGAUUUUUGUUCAUAAAUGUACUGUUAGAUUGUCUACAUGGAAAGAUAUGAUUAGAAGGUGACAUGAUGUCUGUAUUUGAAUAAAUGUAGAUUUUUGUUCAUGAA